rnacentral:rRNA from 1 species
AGUGAACGCUGGCGGUAGGCCUAACACAUGCAAGUCGAACGGCAGCACAGUAAGAGCUUGCUCUUACGGGUGGCGAGUGGCGGACGGGUGAGGAAUACAUCGGAAUCUACUUUUUCGUGGGUGAUAACGUAGGGAAACUUACGCUAAUACCGCAUACUACCUACGGGUGAAAGCAGGGGAUCUUCGGACCUUGCGCGAUUGAAUUAGCCGAUGUCGGAUUAGCUAGUUGGCGGGGUAAAGGCCCACCAAGCCGACGAUCCGUAGCUGGUCUGAGAGGAUGAUCAGCCACACUGGAACUGAGACACGGUCCAGACUCCUACGGGAGGCAGCAGUGGGGAAUAUUGGACAAUGGGCGCAAGCCUGAUCCAGCCAUACCGCGUGGGUGAAGAAGGCCUUCGGGUUGUAAAGCCCUUUUGUUGGGAAAGAAAAGCAGCAGGUUAAUCCCCCGCUGUUCUGACGGUACCCAAAGAAUAAGCACCGGCUAACUUCGUG